GGGGCUGAACGGUUUCGACUGCGUACGUCGAUUCGAGGGAAGCGUGCCGGUGCAGGCAAGAGACCACCGUUAAGCGUCGUUGCAACCAAUUAAGCGCCGAUUCUCAUCAGCGCGACUUCGCUCUCGCUGCCUGAGCAGUAGAGUGAGUCUGUCAGCCCGGGAGUGCUCCCGGUCCGGUGUCUGGCAUCAGCUAGGGAGCUCACCGUCCGGCUCGGUCGCGGAGUUGGACGGGACAAUCAGCAGCGACUGGGAUCGUCAUCCGGGCUAGUCCGUAGGACCCGGAGAUCCGAGUAGAGGCAAGUCGGACUGCGCACGGAGAAGCCUCGGAAAAGCGGCGAAGGACCCGGGUUCGAUUCCCGGCAGCUCCACCC
rnacentral:tmRNA from 1 species